CCAAAGUUAAUCAGUGAAUUCCUCACAUGUCCACAUGCUCCUAUGGGGAGUUGCUGAGUCAGCCCAGACCAGAAGGAGUGGCAGAGAUCAUUUGCCCCAAGAACGGCAGCGAGCGAGUGAAUGUUGCCUUGGUUUACCCACCCACGCCGACUGUGAUCAGCCCCUGUUCCAAGAAGAACGUUGGUGAAAAGCACAGAAACCAGUGACGUUUGUGGCUGUGGAAUUUCCAUGGAGAAAAGAGAGCAUCUGAACACCUGGACCAUCUUUUGCACCUGGCAGACCCUCUGCACUCCCCCCAGCGUGUUCUGUGAACUUGAGUGACAACGCGUGCUUGCAGGGUGCUUUUUGGAAGACUGGGGAAGAGGUGGGGAGGGGGUGGUGGGGGGAAGCAUGGGCGAGAACAUGGAGCAAAUGUUUUACAACCUGAACCUCAGAACUGUGAUC
rnacentral:sRNA from 1 species